rnacentral:sRNA from 1 species
CACGUGUGUAUGUGUGUGUGCGUGCGUGUUUCUUGUACAACAAUGCCACGAAAACGCAACGGGGUAAUUUGAGUCGUCGACCACUCAAAUCUAGAAGCAUGCAAGAUAACAGACCACAAAGGGCAGAUGAAGAUAGGCAACAAAGCAAUGCAGAUGUCCGUGUAAGCAUGGCUCAGUUACGUGUAUCACAAUCGCAAGAGGCACGAGAUGAGCGAAACCAGCAAAGCCAAUUCAGCGAAGAGAAGCGCGCAGAUUCGUAGUCAACAGCCGUAGAGGAAUUGACCGACAACGUCAACAAGUAAAUCGAGCAUAAAUGCUGUAAACAGCACAUUCAUUUCUUCACCUAGCAUUUCACCAUGAGCCUGAUAUUGAAUAUUACGCUCAUUCCAAAGUGGUCAUUGCUACAUUGGACAAGGAAUGCCCGCACUAACUGGACGCCGAAUGCGCACUAGCCAAUUUCGUGGAUUCCCGUUGCAACUAUAAUCACCUCAAUUCACCUUUUGCAACGCGCAUCGUCAGCGACCUGGACGCUCUGUUCAAUGAGCACAGUGAUUUGUUCAGACUGGAGGGCUGCAUGAGUGCCAAAAAAAAACCGUAACCGAAUUAACAAUGCUCAUAUUGAAACG